UGGAGAUGUGAUGCAAAAGAAGCACAAUAGUUCAGUGAUGAUUAGGGUGAUGAUGUUUAUGCAUCUAGGGAACCAUGGAGAUUUUAACAUGUGAUAUUUCCUCAAGCAAACUAAGUUCUUUUGCAAUUUGCUGCUCAAGUUGUGGCUCUCCUGCAGGGCAAAUCUUCCCAACAAGAAGCAUAACAGAGGCCUCUCUUUCAAUGUCUGAAGAUUGGGUAUCUAAUAACUGGCCAUCAGAGGGAGAAAUUCAGCUCCAUAACCUCCAUGUAAAUACCAUCAUCUAUUUUCCCUCUUGCCCACUUCUGUUACAUAUUUACAUUUUUGUGUUGGCAUGUUCUAAAGAAGCUGCACCUUUUUUCCCCUUGUGAGUAAAUUGCCAGAAAUCUAAACUCAUGGGCAAAUGAACUGUUUGAUUCAGUGAUUUGCCAGAUCAACAACAGAAUAUUACUAAGUAGCUCAUGUCAUUAACUUUUUAAUAAUGAUGCACGUGAGAUAUACUCCAAGGUAUGCAGACAGGUAUUUUUGGUAGAAUAUGUAGUGGUAAAUCAACUCUCAUGCAUGCCCUUUUCUGUAUCAUGUGUCCUACUAUCAGUUAGAUAAUAGUAGACAUCGUCGACAUUGGCACCAUUGGGUUGUACGAUCUGAUUUCUAGAUUGGCCAUCAUCAAUGUUCGAUUGAACUGUGAGAAACAACCUUGACCUCUAGGAGAGUACACUGACAAUCAAAUCUAGGAGGUAGUCUUGAUAUUCACAUGCUCAUUGCUUGUCAUUUCUCAAAUUACUAAACAAUCACUUAAAAAAUCUGUUUGUCUUGGCUCGAAGUAUGAAUCUGUUGCUCGUAAUUGUUUUUUAGUUCGAUAUGUCUUCACAUUCAUACAAUUCUAUGAACCUACGUGUUCCCGUUGAUACUUUGUAAAUCUUGUACUGGCUACUACGGCUUUGUGCAUUUCUCAAAUACAGAGGCCCUCCAAUCUUCUUAACUUAUCUAAUCAUGACUGAAAAUUGUUAUUCUACAUUUCAAGCAUCGGGUCACUAUCAGUUAGGAGUUGAAGUUCGGAGAAAGGGGCUAAAACAUGAUUCGCCAGCUCUGCUUUACUCGUACCAUAGAGUUCAUAUUCUGGUAGUUUUGGUGCUUCUGAAAUUGCUGAUAAAUUCCAAAUUGCCCUUUAAGUGUUAGAUAGUGGAGAGAACUGGUGUGUGGGCCAGUGUCAGCCCGUCUGUCUCAGUUGGGUGAUUCUGAGACGGACCAAGAUACUGGUUCUGCCACUGCUUCGGUGGACUUGCAACCUCUUGCAACAGAUAACCUGAUACCGGACACACCACAACAGCAUUACUCAGGGGUGAUUGGCAUGACGAUCGUGCAUCGAAUCACCUUGGUCCUUCAGAGCGAAAUACUCUAGCUUCUUGACUAUGGUGGUACAGUCUGGGGAACGAUUUUCUGUACAAGAGGAGGUCAAAAAAGGGCAUUGCUUAUU